rnacentral:rRNA from 1 species
CGGAGGGUGCAAGCGUUAUCCGGAUUCACUGGGUUUAAAGGGUGCGUAGGUGGCUUUGUAAGUCAGUGGUGAAAUGCCGGAGCUUAACUCCGGAACUGCCAUUGAUACUGCUUAGCUUGAAUCACGUCGAGGUGGAUGGAAUAUUACAUGUAGCGGUGAAAUGCUUAGAUAUGUAAUAGAACACCGAUUGCGAAGGCAGUUCACUAGGCGUGUAUUGACACUGAGGCACGAAAGCGUGGGGAUCAAACAGGAUUAGAUACCCUGGUAGUCCACGCCCUAAACGAUGUAAACUCGACAUCAGCGAUAUACUGUUGGUGUCCAAGCGAAAGCGUUAAGUUUACCACCUGGGAAGUACGACCGCAAGGUUG